rnacentral:ncRNA from 1 species
AGGGCGAGUAGAAGCGGUCUGAGCCCGACGCUCUGGACAUUGCUCGACGG